UUUUUUGCUCAAGGCUGACUGGCAGCCUCCCACUUUGAGCCAACAGCUCCACUCUUGGCUUUUUUGGUGGUUUCAUUGGCGAUAAGAGUCUCACAGACUUUCCUGCCCAAGCUACUUUGAAACCUCAAUCCUCCGAUUU